rnacentral:rRNA from 1 species
AUUGAACGCUGGCGGCAUGCCUUACACAUGCAAGUCGAACGGCAGCACGGGAGCAAUCCUGGUGGCGAGUGGCGAACGGGUGAGUAAUACAUCGGAACGUGCCCAAUCGUGGGGGAUAACGCAGCGAAAGCUGUGCUAAUACCGCAUACGAUCUACGGAUGAAAGCAGGGGACCGCAAGGCCUUGCGCGAAUGGAGCGGCCGAUGGCAGAUUAGGUAGUUGGUGGGGUAAAGGCUCACCAAGCCAACGAUCUGUAGCUGGUCUGAGAGGACGACCAGCCACACUGGGACUGAGACACGGCCCAGACUCCUACGGGAGGCAGCAGUGGGGAAUCUUGGACAAUGGGCGCAAGCCUGAUCCAGCCAUGCCGCGUGCAGGAUGAAGGCCUUCGGGUUGUAAACUGCUUUUGUACGGAACGAAACGGCCUUUUCUAAUAAAGAGGGCUAAUGACGGUACCGUAAGAAUAAGCACCGGCUAACUACGUG